AGAGUGAACGCUGGCGGCAGGCCUAAUACAUGCAAGUCGAACGGCAGCACAGCAGAGCUUGCUCCGUGGGUGGCGAGUGGCGGACGGGUGAGGAAUACAUGGGAAUCUGCCCAGUCGUGGGGGAUAACGUAUGGAAACGUACGCUAAUACCGCAUGCCGCCCGUUCGGGGGAAAGCCGGGGACCUUCGGGCCUGGCGCGAUUGGAUGAGCCCAUGUCGAUUAGCUAGUUGGGACGGGGUAAACGCCCAACGAAGGCGACGAUCCGUAGCUGGUCUGGAGAGGAUGAUCAGUCCACACUGGAACUGAGACACGGUCAAG
rnacentral:rRNA from 1 species